AGAGAGAGCUCUUAAGCAGGAAUCUAAGGUUCGCAUAUAAUAAGGAAGAGGUGAUUUCUAUGGUGAAGAACUGGAAGUUUUUUUCACCAAUGUGCUGAUGAAGAAAAUGGUAACACCUGAAGAUAUAGAAGGCAGAACAAGGAACUCCUACAUGCUUCAGCUACAGCUUGUACUAAGGCACGCUGCUGCAGUCAGAGGACACAGUUUGCAAUAAUAACAGCGUAUGCUUCAAAAGUUUAGGAGUUCAGAAAACAAUCCUCUUGCAUUAGGUCUACACUUCCCUGAUGGAAGGAUGGUGCAGAAAAAAGUAUGGGAGUUAAUCCUUUAGUUUAUCUCCCCAGAUUGAGCUAUUUUUUCCGUUCUAAUAAUCGCAUGGACAGUCACUGCUCCUGAUAAAGUGGAAUUUUGAUUGAAAAAGUCUGACCCAUAGAAUGCUCUCUGUUAGGUACACCUGUGCAAUGCCUAGAGUAGCCAAGUUCUUUCCCGUAAUUCCAAAAUAACUGUGAAACAUAUAAAUUCCUAGCCUUGACCUUUUUGUGCAUUCCAUACAAUUUUGGCAUAAGAACAGAGUUGCCUGAAGCCCAGACUUGUGCUGCAGUGUAACAGAUCACGAGCAGAAGAACGAUGCAAAUGUUCUGUGCACUUGCACAUUUAUAUCCAUUUCUUCAGGGACCAUAAACAGGAGGUUGAAUGUUUUAAUAUACAACUUAACUUUUUCCCGUAAGCAUGUAACUUCAAGGCUAUUUGCCUCAGAUGGUUAUUCAUGUCUCAGAACAUGUGUAGUUGGAUUGCAUCUUGUUAAUAUUGGCCCUCUUGUUUGAAGUUUGGAACUUCCACACUUACAUCUUGAACAGAGGCAGGGUAUGCAGAGUGUACCAGAUGCAUGGAAUGUCAUUCCUGGAUCCAGGCUCUUAGCAAUUGAGAGACACUUGUUGUUUAUGAAAAUUGAAGAUGGAGAUAUUUGAACCUGUAUGCUAUCAAAACUGGAAGUAAUUGUUUGAGCUGUGUGGAAUUACAAGAGUUUAAGACAGUUUCACUGAUAUAUGGAUCAACUCAAUUUAAAAGCAGUGACUCAGUGUUUGGCAUAUAAGAUGUUAAUACUCUUACUUACAUUGAAAAGGCCAACAACUCUAAAAUUAAAGUAUUGAAGAGUAGGUUG
ensembl:lncRNA